rnacentral:rRNA from 1 species
GAUGAACGCUGGCGGCGUGCCUUAGGCAUGCAAGUCGAACGGGAAGUCUUCGGACUUCUAGUGGCGGAAGGGUGAGUAACGCGUGGGAACGUACCUAUUGGUGGAGAAUAGCUCGCCGAAAGGCGGGAUAAUUCUGCAUAAGACCGCAAGGUGAAAGGGCUUAACCGCCCGCCGAUAGAGCGGCCUGCGUCCUAUCAGCUUGUUGGUGAGGUAAAGGCUUAGCAAGGCGAUGACGGGUAGCUGGGCUGAGAGGUCGGAGAGCCACAAUGGAACUGAGACACGGUCCAUACAGCUACGGGAGGCAGCAGUGGGGAAUAUUGGACAAUGGGGGCAACCCUGAUCCAGCCAUGCCGCGUGAGUGAUGACGGCCUUAGGGUUGUAAAGCUCUUUUCUCCGGGACGAUAAUGACGGUACCGGAGGAAUAAGCCCCGGCUAACUUCGUGCCAGCAGCCGCCGUAA